rnacentral:rRNA from 1 species
AGAAAAAGCUUGCUUUUUGCUGACGAGUGGCGAACGGGUGCGUAACGCGUAUGCAACCUACCUUCUUCUAAGGAAUAGCCCAGAGAAAUUUGGAUUAAUACCUUAUGAUAAUAUUUAUUCGCAUGUUUAAAUAUUUAAAACUUCGGUGGAAGAAGAUGGGCAUGCGUAACAUUAGUUUGUUGGUGAGGUAAUGGCUCACCAAGACUACGAUGUUUAGGGGGUCUGAGAGGAUGAUCCCCCACACUGGUACUGAGACACGGACCAGACUCCUACGGGAGGCAGCAGUGAGGAAUAUUGGUCAAUGGACGAAAGUCUGAACCAGCCAUGCCGCGUGAAGGAUGACGGCCCUACGGGUUGUAAACUUCUUUUGUAUAGGAAGAAACCCCUCUACGUGUAGAGGGUUGACGGUACUAUUCGAAUAAGCACCGGCUAACUCCGUGCCAGCAGCCGCGGUAAUACGGAGGAUGCGAGCGUUAUCCGGAAUUAUUGGGUUUAAAGGGUGCGUAGGCGGAAAUUUAAGUCAGUGGUGAAAGCCUGCAGCUUAACUGUAGAAUUGCCAUUGAUACUGGAUUUCUUGAAUCUAAUAGAAGUAGGCGGAAUAUGACAUGUAGCGGUGAAAUGCUUAGAUAUGUCAUAGAACACCGAUAGCGAAGGCAGCUUACUAUGUUAGUAUUGACGCUAAUGCACGAAAGCGUGGGGAGCGAACAGGAUUAGAUACCCUGGUAGUCCACGCCGUAAACGAUGAUUACUCGCUAUUGGCGACACACUGUCAGUGGCUAAGCGAAAGUGAUAAGUAAUCCACCUGGGGAGUACGAUCGCAAGGUUGAAACUCAAAGGAAUUGACGGGGGCCCGCACAAGCGGUGGAGCAUGUGGUUUAAUUCGAUGAUACGCGAGGAACCUUACCAGGUCUUAAAUGCAUAACGAACGAUUGGGAAACCAAUCUUUCUUCGGACGGAAUGCAAGGUGCUGCAUGGUUGUCGUCAGCUCGUGCCGUGAGGUGUCAGGUUAAGUCCUAUAACGAGCGCAACCCCUAUUCUUAGUUGCCAGCGGUUCGGCCGGGGACUCUAAGAAAACUGCCAGUGCAAGCUGUGAGGAAGGUGGGGAUG